GACGAACGCUGGCGGCGUGCUUAACACAUGCAAGUCGAACGGAAAGGCCCUGCUUUUGUGGGGUGCUCGAGUGGCGAACGGGUGAGUAACACGUGAGUAACCUGCCCUUGACUUUGGGAUAACUUCAGGAAACUGGGGCUAAUACCGGAUAGGAGCUCCUGCUGCAUGGUGGGGGUUGGAAAGUUUCGGCGGUUGGGGAUGGACUCGCGGCUUAUCAGCUUGUUGGUGGGGUAGUGGCUUACCAAGGCUUUGACGGGUAGCCGGCCUGCGGGGGUGACCGGCCACAUUGGGACUGAGAUACGGCCCAGACUCCUACGGGAGGCAGCAGUGGGGAAUAUUGCACAAUGGGCGGAAGCCUGAUGCAGCAACGCCGCGUGCGGGAUGACGGCCUUCGGGUUGUAAACCGCUUUCGCCUGUGACGAAGCGUGAGUGACGGUAAUGGGUAAAGAAGCACCGGCUAACUACGUG
rnacentral:rRNA from 1 species